CAACCUGAGAGUUUGAUCCUGGCUCAGGACGAACGCUGGCGGCAUGCCUAACACAUGCAAGUCGAACGAGAAAGUUCCUUCGGGAGCGAUUAAAGUGGCGCACGGGUGAGUAACGCGUAGACAAUCUGCCCUUCAGUCUGGGACAACUUUUCGAAAGGAGAGCUAAUACCGGAUGACAAUGUAACACAUAAGUGUCACAUUUGAAAGCUCCGGCGCUGAAGGAGGGGUCUGCGUCCCAUUAGCUAGUUGGUAAGGUAAAGGCUUACCAAGGCGACGAUGGGUAGCGGGUUUGAGAGGACGAUCCGCCACACUGGAACUGAGACACGGUCCAGACUCCUACGGGAGGCAGCAGUGGGGAAUAUUGCACAAUGGAGGCAACUCUGAUGCAGCAAUG
rnacentral:rRNA from 1 species